UCCCCAUGCCCCCGCCCCAUCCCCACUCCCUUCCCUUCCUUACCCAGCGCAGGGGGUCUGGGGCCAAUCGGCUCCUCCAGAUGAUCAAAUGUCACUAUAAGUUGACAGCUGCAUCACCUUGGGACGCUCGCAGAUCCCAGCCUGCCCGUCCCCUUCAGCAGGGAGCUCGGUGCUUCUCUUCACUCCUCCCAGAAACUCACUGCCAGCAUGUCUGAUACCGAGGAAGUGGAGCAAGCAGAGG